AAGACAUAGUAUAAACACAAUAUAUCUCAUUUACACUGAGAAGAUACUUAAAAUUGAGUUGUUUU
rnacentral:tRNA from 1 species